UGGACAGCAUCCUGUUUCUUGUUUAAAAACAAUAUGGAGCCAUUUUGAAUGUCUAAAACUUGGUACUAGAUAUCCUGAUAAGCUUUCAACAGAUGAACUGCAGCGUUACGAUACACUGACAUUGAGGGAAUUGAUUGCAGAUUUUAAAAGCACUAGAAAACAAGCGGACAGUGCUUCGAAGACACACCAACAAUAUUGCUUCGGGAUGGAAUAUCCUCUUCACUGUACUCUAUAUUAUGGACCUCACCCUGUUGAAUGUUUGGUAACAAUUUGGAUUUCGGAACUUUGUUUACCUGCUGGUAAUAAACAUCCA